GUAAAAAUAACCUACAGAAUUAUGGGACAGGAAAAAAAAAAAACAUGUUGUUAGUUUUUAUUAAACAUAGAUCAUCUGCUUAAUUUGUCCUAUUGUAAUCAUCUUUUUUAAAAAUAUUACACGUCUGUGUCUUAUGCAUACACAAUAACAUCGUCUACACAACUUAAAUACCCAAUAAGAAGUUUACGUUUCUCUAUCAGAGGACAGAAACAUUAUAAAAUUAUUGUUAUAUUUUCCCACAUGUGUAUUUGUUAAGUCCUGCUGUUAACUACCAAUUGCCACUUUUGACUGGUCCCAUUGUUUUGAUUAAACAACAGUAUUCAGGUAACAGAGCAGCAAAUAGAAUAAUAUAAUUUCAAAUAAACACUUGUUUUUCAUAUUUUUAUGGUAAUGUAACAAUACACGUGUGUUGGAAGUAUUCAGUUUGUAUUUCAGGUUUAUGUUUGUUCGUUUCCACCUGGCACGGCUCUGUCCUGGGUCGGCCCUCUAAAGCUGGCGUCGCGGGCACACUCAACUCCGCGGUGCUGAGAAGGGACGGGACAAAUACUCCGAGCGCGGCAGAGCGCCCUUGAGCUCCGAGAGGGCUCCCGCGGAGAGAACCGGCCGCCAGAAAAUGACUCUGGGAACCAGGAUUGAGCGGCCUGAGCACGGGAGAUGGUCAGAAGCCACGGACGCUUUCUGCCCCAGCGUCUUCCUUUGCAGGGACAUCUGAAUUCCUUGGCAGAGUAGGACUAGGGGAAAAUCAAGAUCUAGCUGAGAAAGAACCACAGACAUUUCAAAAGACACUUGAGUUUGUGGAUGGAUUCCACCGUGUUCGUCCCAAGACAACUUGAGCCUCCAAAGGGUUCUGCCAAAGGCCCUGAAAAUUAAACCAAUGAAACUGCCCCGUGGCCAGCCUUGGGUUGGUCCUGGGUCUGUUGCAGAGCUGUGAACUGGUUAAAUGGCAAAGCUGGGGACAAAGACUGGAGAUUGCCACUACACCGUUCCUCCACUCAGUGCUGUUUGCCACGAGAGGACUUCCCGGUGAAAACCACUCCUGGAAAUUACGCUGUAAGGAGAACUAUAUGCAGGCCCAGACAGAAAAUGCUCCUUUCUCUGCAAAAAUAAAAUAUACGCACACACACACACACGCACGCACGCACGCACGCACACGCACCCUACAGAUAUUUGAAAUUGUACUCCCAGACCCAAAGGAGGAAGUUUAAGCUACUUGAACUCUGUGAAUUGGGAAAAAAUAGUCCAAGGUUGCACCGUGGAGACAGGACUUCUCCACUUCUCCCGGAACACCUAGAGCAAAUCAAGACCACUCCCCAGCGGGCCUGGAAGGCAGGGUGUGCACUCCAGGUGUCCGUGCCCCUAGGACACUUUCCAGAGCCCUCUUCCUGCGGCCCCAGCCUCCUCAACUGACUCGGAAUGGCGAUUGGCUCCCUCUGGUGCUCCGGGUGAGGUCUCCCUCAGAGCCCUCGAUCGCUGAGUUCCAGAAGGGGAGGCCCACUCACCCUUCCAGAGGAGGCCCCUGGGAAAAACAAUUCUGUCCCCCACCUCCUCGUCCGUAGUGUUUUCUUGAGCUUUUCAUUUUUUUUAGUAGGUGCGUCAAAGCCUAAAGUGGCCUGUGGGCACCUCCUGCCUCCUGCCAAGGAGCCCCUCACAUGACUACUGUCGUCCUGAGUCCACUCAUUAUCCUUGAGGGAUGUGUCGUGUAAAAUCUAUGUAUGAUCUAACACAAAGAGAUUUCCAAUGGUAACACUGGAUGCAGAUUGCUCUGACCGUCGCUUUUAUGUUAAAAUAUGUGUUUGUACACAACGACCCUUCUCGUUUCCUUUGAAAUAUGCAUAGCACUCCACUGUGGAGUUAGGCCAUAAUUUAUCCAAAUAAAUAAUUCUGAAUACUUAGGUUUUUCCCAAUCUUGUUAUUACAAUUAAUGCCACAGAGAAUAAACUUCAGCACAAUAUGGUCUGUCGUGUGUGCAAGUCUACGGGGUAUAUUUGUGGAAAUGCUGGACCCGAGGGUAUGGGCGUUUGACAUGUUGGUAAGAUCCUGUCAGAUUGCCCUCCGGGCAACAAGGCAGAGUAUAUUCCAUGGAGAGCACGAUUAAAUAGGAGGUUGGGCAUGAAUAAUACAGCUCCCUAAUUCACUUCCUACCAACUAUGAAUCCAACCAGGCAAUCCAUGAAGACUGUAGAAAAAGUCUGAAAAUCAAGGAUUCUUGCGAUGCUGGAAGAUGGCCUCCUCUCCAAGAGGUGAGAUUUUGCAGCCUGGGGCCUGGCAGGAUGGGGGUGAGGUGAAGGCGGCUGGGGGUGCUGAGUGGAGACGCCUGAUGCAGGGGCUUGGGCAUGGUUUCCUGUCGCGUCCACUCAAAGUAAAUAGGCCAAAGGCGCAGAAGCAACCAGACUGCAGCAGUCAGGGCCUUGCACGAACGUGUGUUUCUUUGUAGGCAAAGGCCUGCGUGCCAGGCUGUGAUGGCCGAGUGGUUAAGGCGUUGGACUCGAAAUCCAAUGGGGUUUCCCGCGCAGGUUCAAAUCCUGCUCACAGCGCUCUGUGGUGCUUUUUCUAUCCAAGUUCUAGGAUGAAAUUCUCACAAAGCACGGUCUUCUCAGCUUCUCAUCUUAUUCCACGAACUGAGAAGUAGGAGGGGAGCGGGGAGCUACCUAUCCAGAGGGCUG